rnacentral:rRNA from 1 species
UACGUAGGGAGCAAGCGUUGUCCGGAUUUACUGGGUGUAAAGGGUGCGUAGGCGGCUUUGCAAGUCAGGGGUGAAAGCCCGGGGCCCAACCCCGGGACUGCCCUUGGAACUGCAUGGCUGGAGUGCGGGAGGGGCAGGCGGAAUUCCUGGUGUAGCGGUGAAAUGCGUAGAUAUCAGGAGGAACACCGGCGGCGAAGGCGGCCUGCUGGACCGCGACUGACGUUGAGGCUCGAAAGCGUGGGGAGCGAACAGG